rnacentral:rRNA from 1 species
GACGGGGGGUCCUAGCGUUGUUCGGAAUCAUUGGGCGUAAAGCGUGUGCAGGUGGUUUGGUAAGUUGGAUGUGAAAUCCUGCGGCUUAACCGCAGGGCUGCCUUCUAAACUGUCGGGCUCGAGCACAGUAGAGGCAGGUGGAAUUCCCGGUGUAGCGGUGGAAUGCGUAGAGAUCGGGAAGAACAUCAGUGGCGAAGGCGGCCUGCUGGGCUGUUGCUGACGCUGAGGCGCGACAGCGUGGGGAGCAAACAGG